rnacentral:rRNA from 1 species
UACGUAGGGUGCAAGCGUUGUCCGGAAUUAUUGGGCGUAAAGAGCUCGCAGGCGGUUCGUCGCGUCGGCUGUGAAAACCCGGAGCUCAACUCCGGGCCUGCAGUCGAUACGGGCGGACUUGAGUGUUGCAGGGGAGACUGGAAUUCCUGGUGUAGCGGUGAAAUGCGCAGAUAUCAGGAGGAACACCGGUGGCGAAGGCGGGUCUCUGGGCAACUACUGACGCUGAGGAGCGAAAGUGUGGGGAGCGAACAGG